GCUGGGAAGGGCAGGGAGGCACGGGGAGGGAGGAGCAGUGAUGGCCAGUGGGAAGAGCCGCAGGAGGCCGAGGCGGUGAGUAUGAGGGCGGCCAGUGAGCCGGAGGUCUGCUGGGGACCCCAUGGGCUCUGGGAGGGUUGACCACGCAGGGUGCGGAUAUGUGCGCCAGGCAGCUGCUUGGAGUCCUGGAGUGCACAUGCUCACUCUGCCACUCAGAGCCUGCCUUCCUCAGGUCAACCUGAAAGUCAAGAAAGAAAAGAAAACGCCGAGCCCGCCUGGGGGAGUCGACCUUCACAAGUUGAGGAAAGGCACCUCCUGGGGAAGGUGCAGGUGGAGAGACAGGGCUCCGGCCCAGGGGCAGCCCAGGGGACAGAGGGGACUCCAGACCAGUCGGACCAUGGCUCCCUGCCUGGGAGCUCCAGUGCCCAGGCUGGGAUCAGAGUGCAGGACAGGGGUCAUCUGAUCUGCCACUGGAAGCUGAAUUCUGCCCCAAGUGGCUUCUUAAAUUAGCAGGUUUUAUUUUAAGAGGAGUUUAAACUCAAGGGGAAAUUCAGCCAGAGUGCACAGUUCCUGCACACCCUCCACCUCCUGCCCACUGCCUGGCGCUCGCCUGACUCCUUGCAACGGAGGAGCCACACUGACCGGUCCGCACCACAUGGUGUCCACAGUGUGCGUCAGGGUCCCCUCCUUGUGUGCACUCUGUAGCUGUCUGCACCCUGGGGAGCCCAUGACCCCAGGGCAGGGUCUGAGGCCACCGGCAGGACCCUCCCUUCCCACUUGGUGGCUCUGCCUGCCUAUUUAGGGUGUCACUCCACACGCCUCGUGUCCUCAGGCCUGGCAGGAGCCUCCUGGAGUCAGCGUCCCCUGGACUCCCCUCCCAGCCCAGGCCUCAGCUUGGGCAGCUCUGCCUCCGGCCAGAACACCUUGCGCUACCCCACCCCAGCCAGAGUAGGGUGUUCACUCCAGGCCUCUGAGAGUGGAGUGGCCCAGGGCUCAGGGGGGUGUGAGGCUACUCACUGUCCUUGCCCGACUCCCCUCAAGGAGAGAGGCACACAUUCUGCCCGUGGCAAAGUGGACCUGGCAUCCACAAAAUCCAGCUAAUCAACUGGCAAUUUCCUUACACCCAGGUUUUCAGUGAGUGCUGGUCAGUCACAGGAUGGUUUUGUGCUGUCAUCUAUGGGCGAAGGCGGGGCAGUUGGCCGAGCCUCAGGGGACCGGGGCUCUGGGGACAGAAAGGGGCCGUCGUUGAGUGGAGGAGGUGGGCUUCCAGGUGUGGGUCCAGCAGCAGCUCCACGCCUCCACACUCUAAAAAACUCCAUCUUAACAUUAGGGCCGCCAACUGCUCCCUGACAGAGGGGAAAGUGGAAGAGCAGGGAGAUGGAGUGGCUGACCAGUCCUCUCCUGAGACAGGCUGGACACUGCAGGCCCAGGCCCAGCAGCAGCAGCAGUGUAUUGUCGACUGCCCCAUGUCCUGCCUCUGGACUGUAAGAGAUGACCUGCGUCGUCCGAAGGCUGCCUUCCUGAGGACAGGAAGUCGCAGCUCAGGGAGUCGGAGCCGCAGCUCAGAGCUGGCGUGAUUCAGAACGAGAUCUCGUUCCUGAAAGGAAAAGAACUUCUGCAGUUCCUCAUCAGCUCAUCCGUUCCCGUGAUUUUUCCGAGAGAUCAGUGUUGUGUCUUAGGGUAGAACAUCCGCGGACUCUA